GAGUUUGAUCGUGGCUCAGAUUGAACGCUGGCGGCAGGCCUAACACAUGCAAGUCGAGCGGCAGCGCGGGGCAACCUGGCGGCGAGCGGCGGACGGGUGAGUAACGCGUAGGAAUCUACCCAGUAGCGGGGGAUAGCCCGGGGAAACUCGGAUUAAUACCGCAUACGCCCUAAGGGGGAAAGCAGGGGAUCUUCGGACCUUGCACUAUUGGCAGAGCCUGCGUUGGAUUAGCUAGUUGGUAGGUAAAGGCCUACCAAGGCAACGAUCCAUAACUGGUCUGAGAGGAUGAUCAGUCACACCGGAACUGAGACACGGUCCGGACUCCUACGGGAGGCAGCAGUGGGGAAUAUUGGACAAUGGGGGCAACCCUGAUCCAGCCAUGCCGCGUGUGUGAAGAAGGCCUUC
rnacentral:rRNA from 1 species